rnacentral:rRNA from 1 species
UUCCGGUUGAUCCUGCCGGACCCGACUGCUAUUUGGGUGAGGAUAAGCCAUGCGAGUUGAAUGGGAAACCUAAAAAUCCCAUGGCAAACUGCUCAGUAACACAUGAUCAACUUACCCUAUAGAGGAAAAUAACCUCGGGAAACUGAGGAUAAUGUUCCAUAGUUGAAUCGGCUUGGAAAAGUUUUUCAAUAAAAGGGAUAAGGAGAAUGGUUCUUAUCUGCUAUAGGAUAGGAUCGUGCUCGAUUAUGGUUGUUGGUGAGGUAAAGGCUCACCAAGCCGAUAAUCGAUAGGGGCCGUGAGAGCGGGAGCCCCGAGAUGGGUACUGAGACAACGACCCAGGCCUUACGAGGCGCAGCAGGCGCGAAACCUCCGCAAUACACGAAAGUGUGACGAAGUUACCCAAAGUGUUCUAUUUAGAACUGUGGUAGGUGAGUAAUGUCCCCUACUAGAAAGGAGAGGGCAAGGCUGGUGCCAGCCGCCGCGGUAAAACCAGCUCUUCAAGUGGUCGGGAUAAUUAUUGGGCUUAAAGUGUCCGUAGCCGGUUUAGUAAGUUCCUGGUAAAAUCGGGUAGCUUAACUAUCUAUAUGCUAGGAAUACUGCUAUACUAGAGGGCGGGAGAGGUCUGAGGUACUACAGGGGUAGGGGUGAAAUCUUAUAAUCCUUGUAGGACCACCAGUGGCGAAGGCGUCAGACUGGAACGCGCCUGACGGUGAGGGACGAAAGCCAGGGGAGCGAACCGGAUUAGAUACCCGAGUAGUCCUGGCCGUAAACGAUGCAUACUAGUGAUGGCACGGCCAUGAGCCGUGUCAGUGCCGUAGGGAAACCGUUAAGUGUGCCGCCUGGGAAGUACGGUCGCAAGGCUAAAACUUAAAGGAAUUGGCGGGGGAGCACCACAAGGGGUGAAGCCUGCGGUUCAAUUGGAUUCAACGCCGGAAAUCACUAGUGCGGCC